AAGUAGGGGAUCGUAAGACCUUGCGCUUAUGGAGCGGCCGAUGCCUGAUUAGCUAGUUGGUGGGGUAAUGGCUUACCAAGGCUACGAUCAGUAGUUGGUCUGAGAGGACGACCAGCCACACUGGGACUGAGACACGGCCCAGACUCCUACGGGAGGCAGCAGUGGGGAAUUUUGGACAAUGGGCGAAAGCCUGAUCCAGCAAUGCCGCGUGAGUGAAGAAGGCCUUCGGGUUGUAAAGCUCUUUCAGUCGAGAAGAAAAGGUUGUGACUAAUAAUCACAAUUUAUGACGGUAUCGACAGAAGAAGCACCGGCUAACUACGUGCCAGCAGCCGCGGUAAUACGUAGGGUGCAAGCGUUAAUCGGAAUUACUGGGCGUAAAGGGUGCGCAGGCGGCUUUGUAAGUCAGAUGUGAAAUCCCCGGGCUUAACCUGGGAAUUGCGUUUGAAACUACAAAGCUAGAGU
rnacentral:rRNA from 1 species